ACCUAAGAGGUGCCUUAGACAUUUUGUUGAAUGAAUGAAGGUGAAUGAGGGAGAUGCCCCUCGUUCCUGGAAAACCUGUCUGGUCUAAUGCCUUUAAAGCUCCUUAGGCCAUGAAAUGUCCCUUCCCCCAUCUGUAAGUGUCUUUGGAGCGAUGGGAGCAGGGGCCUCCGCCUAUUCAGAACAGGCCCGCUGGGCUUCCUAGGACAGGAGAGGAAACUGAGCUGUGGGAAGUGAGGCAACGUGCUUAAGGCCACGGUCGUCAUUAUUUCCAUCGCACAUUUGUCUCUUGAAGCCUGGACGCUGCGGGGAGAACAGUGGUGGAGAGACCCCAGAGCUGAACAAGAAUCAGGCUUUCUACCCUCAAGAACUCAAGAAGUUUGACAGUGUGUAAGUGAUAGACAACAGGAGAUUCCCAGGAGAAGGUGAACAGGGUUAUUUGUCCGGGGAUGUGGAGGAGUGAGCGCAGGAACAAACUGUGUGUCAGAAAUUAUUCAAGAGGAUGCAGCCCCUCUGGGCCUACAUCUG